GUCCCAUGGCAGGUCCUUUGGCUGACAGGCCAUCAUGUGUUAUUAAAGCAGUCUGCUUCUGUGCUAGUCUAUCAAAUUGAUUUUUAUUUUCCUAUCGGUUGCGAUGGUUGCAGAUGUAGCUUAUCAGUAUCGUGAUAACAUGUUAUCACAUAGAAUAAAGUUAUGCAAAUUUGUUAAUCAUAAGUAGUUCUUGCAGACAGCUAUCCCGAUAACUUCUCAUUUAAAUCUUUCUCCAGGUGGUGUUUUGUCUUUACAUGCUUUCAGCUUUGGGACGGUUGGUGUCAGGUCUUACAGUUGCCUAUGCUGGAUUAUGCUUGUUUUGCCUUUAUAUGCUAGCUGAGAACAGUCAGUCAAUCAGUGCAUGUUUGUCUCGAUUUCUGAGGAGAACGAAUGAUCUAGCGGAGGAAGAUGCUGCAGAGCAAGAUACUAUGUAGCUUAUGUUUUCUGUAACCUCCAUGUACAAUGAAUCUUUGUAUUUUUGUGUGUGGGUGUAUUUCGAGCUACUCAUAGUAUCUGUGUACAUAUGACUUUGUGCAUGACCCCGAUUGGGGUGGUACAAUAUUGUUAACCAAGAGAUACAAUUUUAUGAUACAAACUGUUGAAUAAUUGACACCAUUGCUGAAUAAAUGCCCGUCAUUAGUGUUUGCUACAA